AACGAACGCUGGCGGCAUGCCUAACACAUGCAAGUCGAACGAUGCCUUCGGGCAUAGUGGCGCACGGGUGCGUAACGCGUGGGAAUCUGCCUUUCGGUUCGGAAUAACUCAGGGAAACUUGAGCUAAUACCGGAUAACGUCGCAAGACCAAAGAUUUAUCACCGAAAGAUGAGCCCGCGUAGUAUUAGCUAGUUGGUGAGGUAAAGGCUCACCAAGGCGACGAUCCUUAGCUGGUCUGAGAGGAUGAUCAGCCACACUGGGACUGAGACACGGCCCAGACUCCUACGGGAGGCAGCAGUGGGGAAUAUUGGACAAUGGGCGAAAGCCUGAUCCAGCAAUGCCGCGUGAGUGAUGAAGGCCUUAGGGUUGUAAAGCUCUUUUACCCGGGAAGAUAAUGACGGUACCGGGAGAAUAAGCCCCGGCUAACUCCGUG
rnacentral:rRNA from 1 species